UCAAGCAGUAGUAUACUUCAUGUUAAACAUUAAUAUAUACUUAUUUGAUAACAGCAAAGAUGACGUCAACAGUAUUGACGGCAAAACAGGCUACAGAAUAUUUAGUUCUGUAUUGACAGGUGCAAUAUUUGAAAAUCAAUAAUUAUUUAUUAUUUAUUUUUUUAUACAUUUAUGUCUGC